GAAUGAACACAUGUGGAGUUAUGUACUUAACAAAAAAAGGUGAAAUAACUGAAAACAUAGCCCCCUUAUGAUCUGAUUAAUGCUUUGCACACUCUUGGCAUUCUCUGGAUGAGCUUCAAGAGGUAGUCACCUGAAGUUGGUUUUCACUUCGCAGUUGUGCCUUAUCAGGAUUGAUGAGUGGAAUUUGUUGCUUUACCAAUGGGGUUGGAUCCAUCAGUUGAGAAAGUGUGUGUGGUGGGCGUGGCCUGCGGACCAGCAGCAAAGCGGGGUGUGGCGGGGAGUGUUAGUCUAAUCACCCGUCGCUCUGUUAAAGGCAGCAGUUGCUAUUGGGGGGGGCAGGGCAUGUAGAGAGAGAGACAAAUUGACGGACAAGAUCCAAAAGACAAUUUGCAAAUUGUGGAAGUCUAGUGCUUCCGAGUUCUCUGGACCAGCCACCACGAACAUGACAGCCGAGCACACGAGUGGUUUUUCCUGUUGCUUUUCAACAGACUUCUUUUGGAUCUUGUCCGUCAAUUUCGCCCUCGACAUGCUCUGCCAUCCACCAACAACGAACAUCAACCCCCCUCCCGACUGCUGCCUUUAGCAGAGCCACAGGUGAUUAGACAAACACUCUCAGCUGUGUCAUUUACGCACCUGUCGCUAAUCUCAAAACCGGCUCCACCACACCCCACUUUGCUGCUGGUCCGCAGGCCACGCCCGCCACAAUGUGUCCAAACGUUUGGCUUGUGCUGUAUGUAUACAGUCGUGGUCAAAAGUUUGCAUACGACUUGUAAAGAACAUCUCAUGGCUGUCUCAAGUUUCCAAUCGUUUCUGCAACUCAUAUUUUUUUUUGUAAUAGAGUGAUUGGAGCACAUACUUGUUAGUCACAAAGAAAAAAACUUUUUUGAGGUUCUAUCGCUGAGUUUCAAGCACACUUGUGAAGGGAAAAUUACCUCUUGAAGCCCAUGUAGAGAAAUGCCAAGAGUGCGAAAAAGUAAUCGGAGCAAAGGGUGGCUAUUUUGAAGAAACUUACAAAAAAAAAAUUGUAAAGUUCUCUCGAUGAGCUUCAAGCACACCUGUGAAGGGAAAGUACCUCUUGAAGCCCGUGUAGAGAAUGCCAAUGGUGUGCAAAAAAGUAAUCGGAGCAAAGGUGGCUAUUUUGAAGAAACUGUACAAAAAAAAAAUUGUGAAGUUCUCUCAAUGAGCUUCAAGCACACCUGUGAAGCGAAAACUACUUCAUGAAGCCCGUGUAGAGAAUGCCAAGAGUGUGUGAAAAAGUAAUCGGAGCAAAGGGUGGCUAUUUUGAAGAAACUACCAAAAAAAACAUUUGUGAGGUUCUAUCGAUGAGCUUCAAGCACACCUGUGAAGCGAAAGUACCUCUUGAAGCCUGUGUAGAGAAUGCCAAUGGUGUGCGAAAAAGUAAUCGGAGCAAAGGUGGCUAUUUUGAAGAAACUACAGAAAAAGACAUUUGUGAGGUCCUCUAAAUGAGCUUCAGGCACACCUGUGAAGCAAAAACUACUUCAUGAAGCCUGUGUAGAGAAUGCCAAGAGUGAAAAAAUAACCGGAGCAAAGGGUGGCUAUUUUGAAGAAACUGCAAAAAAAACAUUUGUGAGGUUCUCUCGAUUAGUUUCAAGCACACCUGUGAAGCGAAAAUACCACUUGAAGCCCUUGUAGAGAAUGCCAAGAGUG